CCAGAAACACAGUCUGGAUCUGCACAGAAUAAAAUGCUGAGUGGGAUUAUAGCCUGCGGACUAGGUCUGCUCUUCCUUGGGGUGGGGCUGUUCCUCAGCUUCAAGACUCAUGAAGCACACUCUGGACUUCAGCCAACAGGACUCCUGAACUGAAGUGCAGCUGGAAACCCUGAAGGGCAGACCUGCAUCCCUACCU